AUUUGCUAAUGCCUAAUUUACAAUCCGACUUCUUGCUUGUGUGCUUCCAGCAGUUAAAAGUAAUUUAUGUGUGUUAUCUUUCUUUUUUACUGCCCACCACCCCUCAAACCUUGUUGUUCCUGAGCUCGUGUGCAUGUCUGGCAACUUUUAUAGUGGAUCUUCAGCUGCUAUCCAGGGAAGGAAAUGCAGCAAACGUCGGACAAACGUACCCACACGGAUUCUAACACUUUGAUGAAACGGCGGCCAGACGGAGCCUGUGAAGUUUGAUCCGCUGCAUGUGGGCAAAAAUGACCUCAGUGACCGCAAACAUGGUUGAGAACAUGCUACCUGUGUUUUACUGGCAUGCAUUACUGAUGUCUGCUGAUUAGAAUGAACACGCCUCGUUUAAAAAUAAAAAAUAAAAAAA